rnacentral:rRNA from 1 species
UCAUUGUCGAAACCUGCCCAGCAGAAGGACCGGCGAAC